rnacentral:rRNA from 1 species
CGAGUUUGAUCCUGGCUCAGAUUGAACGCUGGCGGCAGGCCUAACACAUGCAAGUCGAACGGCAGCACAGUAGAGCUUGCUCUUUGGGUGGCGAGUGGCGGACGGGUGAGUAACACGUAGGAAUCUACCCAGUUGUGGGGGAUAACCUGGGGAAACCCAGGCUAAUACCGCAUACGCCCUGAGGGGGAAAGCGGGGGAUCUUCGGACCUCGCGCUAUUGGAUGAGCCUGCGUCGGAUUAGCUAGUUGGUGGGGUAAGGGCCCACCAAGGCGACGAUCCGUAGCUGGUCUGAGAGGAUGACCAGUCACACCGGAACUGAGACACGGUCCGGACUCCUACGGGAGGCAGCAGUGGGGAAUUUUGGACAAUGGGCGCAAGCCUGAUCCAGCCAUGCCGCGUGAGUGAAGAAGGCCUGAGGGUUGUAAAGCACUUUCAGUAGGGAAGAUUAUGACGGUACCUACAGAAGAAGCACCGGCUAACUCCGUG